AACCAAUACAGAAAUGUCUUUGAACUUAAGCUUAGGGAGUGAGGUCACCUUGCAACCAACACAGGAAAGGGGAGAAUACUUCUUGAAACUUAAGCUUAGGGAGUGAGGUCACCUUGCAACCAACACAGGAAAGGGGAGAUGUUGGACCAGUGUGGAGGUUCAUCACCAUGUUGAUGAGCUGGGCAGCAGAUGGUGGAGGACACAAUACUACAACCCUGUGUAUAAAUCAGUAUUCUCCAAAGCUGACCAACGCAUUGGACGACUACUGCAGAAAGCUGAG